AACGAACGCUGGCGGCAUGCCUAACACAUGCAAGUCGAACGAGACCUUCGGGUCUAGUGGCGCACGGGUGCGUAACGCGUGGGAACCUGCCCUUAGGUUCGGAAUAACUCCCCGAAAGGGGUGCUAAUACCGGAUAAUGUCUUCGGACCAAAGAUUUAUCGCCUUUGGAUGGGCCCGAGUUGGAUUAGCUAGUUGGUAGGGUAAAAGCCUACCAAGGCGACGAUCCAUAGCUGGUCGGAGAGGAUGAUCAGCCACACUGGGACUGAGACACGGCCCAGACUCCUACGGGAGGCAGCAGUGGGGAAUAUUGGACAAUGGGCGAAAGCGUGAUACAGCAAUGACGCGUGAGUGAUGAAGGCGUUAGGGUUGUAAAGCUAUUUUACCCGGGAUGAUAAUGACAGUACCGGGAGAAUAAGCUCCGGCUAACUACGUG
rnacentral:rRNA from 1 species